rnacentral:rRNA from 1 species
UACGUAGGGGGCGAGCGUUGUCCGGAGUUACUGGGCGUAAAGCGCACGCAGGCGGUCUGCUAAGUUUGGAGUGACAGUUGGUGGCUUAACUGCCAAAGUGCUUCGAAAACUGACAGACUUGAGGGCUUCAGAGGGACACGGAAUUCCGGGUGUAGCGGUGGAAUGCGGUAGAGAUCCGGAAGAACACCGGUGGCGAAGGCGGUCUGCUGGGGUAAUGCUGGACACUGAUGCGCGACAGCGUGGGAGC